CACCGUCAUAGAGAGAUAGAGGAAGUGAGCGAGAGUCUCUCAUUCCUAAAAAAAAAAAAAAAGAGAAAAGUUCAUUCAUAAAAAAGCUGCACAGUUCUGCUGCGCCUCAGAAAGAAAAGACCGAGGGGAGGAAAGUUGAUGUGGAGGUGAAGCCGAGCUGGAAGACUGGCAACUGCCUGAGAAAGUGUAUGGGUUGUGUGAGAGUUAUGAUGGGGGUGUACACAGCAUGACUAGAGCAAAGCAGACUGGACUGUAGACUACACAGGACAUCCCCUGUCCCACGCUGUGCUCUCCCUUGUCCAGUUCCCUGAUUAUGAGAGAGCAAACCUUACCCAGGUUCAAAUCACAGAAAGGACUCUCACCAGGCAUGCUGAAGCGCACCAAAUACAGUCGUCUGCGCAACGAUUCGCUGACCUCUCUGGAGGAUCUGCCCCAAAGAAUGCUGCCCCCUAGAGAGGACCUUUGCUUAGACUCUGAUUUUGCCCAGCUGGAUCCCGGGACGCCUACACAUCACGGGCCGUCCACCCUGAGGGACUUCAUCCCCCGUGUGGCCAACAUCCGAUUGCAAAGUCCUAUUUCCCUGCGGGGCAUGAGGGGACAGACGGACUCAGAGGACAGAACCAUUGAUGGACACACUGACAGACCCUUGUCCAGAGCAGAGUGGGGCUCAGGGAGAUUUUGUAGCCAACCUUCCUUCAAUUUGCCCCUAUCCACUAAUAACUUGGCUCUGCGCUGCACAAAAAGACCCAUAACCCUGCAUCGGAUGGCCAGCCUGCCCUGGACCCCCGGCUGUCCUUGCUCACAACACAGAGACGGUCUCUGUCGUUUGAAGACCUCCUCGGCGGUAGAUGACUGUACAGUGGAGGGGACAGCAGACAGAGUGGUUCACCGUCACAUCAAGUACAUGGGUAGUGUGGAGGUGACCCAGUCCAUGAGAACCCUCGACUUUGAUACAAGAAUGAAAGUCACACGUGAAGCAAUCAGCAGACUGUGUGAGAGGACAUCAGCCAAGAGAGCAGUGAAAACUAAAAGGCCUGUAUGCAAGGGACUGUCUUCUCUUCUGGGUCAAAUCAACCUACAGUUUUCUGGGAGCAAGAGCAUUCUCACUGUCUCCACAGACAGCGUGACUCUGAUUGCUGCCUCCUCCUUACAGAUUGCCCACCACCCCAUGCAGGCCAUUUCAUUUGCCUCAGGAGGAGAUCCAGACAUGGCAGAUUACAUCGCUUAUGUUGCCAAGGACCUCGUCAAUCAGAGAGCAUGUCACAUCCUGGAGUGUCCCCGGGGUUGUGCCGGUGAGGUUAUCAACAGCAUCGGUCAGGCUUUUGAGACUCGUUUCCGCCAACUUCUCAGCCACACACCAUCGCUCCUCUCCAACAAUCCCAGGUCAGCAGCAGUGCAAAUCUGUCACAAAUGGAGCCCGGAGGAGACAAUAACAGACCAAAGGUUAGAGCAGGAAGGCGAAGAAGCCAGGAAGCACCGCGACUACUACAAUGUGAUCCCAGGAAAGACGCCGCCCGCUGGUGGAAUAGAGGACCUGCGGAUUACAAGAGAGGACAAACAGGAUGCUGACAUACAAGGGGUUUGUUCAUCUCAGCCUGUUUCACUGUGUGAGAACUGCUCCAUCACAGAAGAAACUCCAGCUCCACCUGCAGACUCGGUGGUAUCGGCGGUCAGUGCUAAACGGUGUACCCCACUCUCUGACACACAGAUCCACCUGAUCCAGGAGGAAGGCUGGUUCCACGGCAGGUUAGGAAGAGAGCAGGCGGAGUCACUUCUCACCUGUAGUGGGGAUUUCCUGGUCAGAGAGAGCAGCUCUGCCUCUCGUCAGUAUGUACUCAGCGGGAUGGAGGGAGCCACCGUGCGGCACUUACUGCUGGUGGACCCACAUGGGCAGGUGCGGACUCGUGAUCAGGUGUUUUUGAGUGUGGGUCACCUGGUGCGUUUCCACAUGGAGAACCAGAUGCCCAUCGUCUCUGGAAGCAGUGAGCUGUGUCUGAAACAGCCAAUCCUACAAAGACACUAAAACACACAUUUAUAGACCGUCACAUGCAUAUAUUAGCCUUCAGCAGUGGUUCUCCUCAAUGGUUUUUGGAGCUGAAGCACAAUGUGCUAAAGCAAAAAAAUAAAAAGGAAAUGUUUAAACCUUUCAACACUUUUAAAUCAACCUGUCAACAUGUGAGAUACCACUUCCUAGAAUAUUUUAUUAUUUGGUCAUUAAAGUUCAUAUAUUAUAUACGUGAAUUGUUUGAUUUUCUUACCAUUUGAGUAAAUUCUCACACGCCCCGUGUUGAGAACUGGCCUGCAGAACAUCCUGUCUCUCUCUCUCUCUCUCUCUCUCUCUCUCUCUCUCUCUCCCAGGCUGAAUUUGCUGGUGUUUUAAGUCAAAGCACAAUCACUGAUAUCAGAAGGAAUUUACCACAAUGUUGGCAGACUUUCAGAAUCAUUUUUGACAUGGUUUCUUGUGUUCAUUUGUUUUGAUUUGUUAUUGCCUUGUGUCCUCAUUUCCAUGCUUGAGUUUUGAAACCCACUUAUUUGUUACAUUCUGUAAUAAAUAAUUCAAAUGCUACAGAAACAGAUUUGCAGUUUAGUCUUAGAUGAACUGGUAAAUAUGCAAAUAGUAAUGUUUUUGUUCCACAUAAAGUGUAAUCAAAUACAUUUUCAGUUCUUUUACAGAAUGGAUUACUGGACUUUGUCUGACAUUUUUUUUAUUGGUAAUCCUCCAACCACAAAAACCCAACUUUAUUUCUUCUUACACUUCCAGUAAUCCAGGCUACUUUAUCGUACAGUACAAAAGGUAAUUGCUAUUUUUAGGUGCAGGCUCUAGGGAGGUUGUAAGUGCAUUGAUUUGUCCUCCAAAUUUCAUGAUUAUAUCAGAAAACAGCAAAUUACCAGAUGACAGACACAUCGUAAAAAUGAGUUAAUGGAAAUAAAAUAUUUAUAGAACAUAAAAAUGAUAUUCACAAACAACUUUUUAUUGUGUCAAUGUUUUAUUAACAUGUGUAGCUGAGACAUAAAGGUGUAAUUUGUUGUCUUAUUUUGGAAGGUGUCAUUAGUUUCCUGUAGAGUUAAACAGCCAAUCAAAGUGCUCAAUGCAAUCUGCUACACAAAGGAAGGAAGAGUUGAUUGAUUUAAUAUUUCUUGUUUUACAUUCUGGUAUGGAAUGUGACCAAAGACACGAGUCAAGAGCCUCUGUUUUUGGAGGUGAAAAUUCUAGCAAGGAACCAUCAAUAAUUGACACAGAAUUUGAAGAGGAAAUGGGCAGGUGUCCUCUUUGCUCAGAUAAAAAAAACACAGCAAAGUCUGACAGCAGAAUUACAGCAUAUGGCAAAGAACACCAAGCAGUUGCAAACAAAAAACAACUUUUGAGCUCAUGUUCUCUGAAAUUUACCUGUCUGGGAAGAGAAUAUGGUCAACUGAAGUUGGUCAUAAACACAACACUGUACCACUUCACCUGCUCUCUAAGAACACAUCGCAAGAAGAAGCACAGUGGAGCCUGCUCUUGAAGAACACAUUGCAAGAAAAAACACAGUCUGAAGUAGAGAACAAAGAGCUGAAGAAACUUCUGAACUCCACUUAGUAAAACUUCACUCUUCUGGGAAGUGAGUAUGGCCAACUGAAGCUGCUCAUUAACGCAACACGGUGCAACUUCACCUUUUUGUCUGCUGAAACUACACAGCUGAGCCUGCUCUUGACGAACACAUCACAAGAAAAAGCACAGUUGCAAGUGGAGAACACAGAGCUGAACAUGUUUCUAAAUUCAACACUGGAAAACUGACCUUGUGGAAGAGGAGAACAGGCAACUGAACCUGCUUCUGAAUGAAUUAUUGCACAGCAUCACCAUGGAGUAUGAAACAAUGAACAACAAUCCUCUAUGCAGCUGGCAGCAGAAAGUCAACGCCAGCAUUUAAUGCUGUUCUUGUUCUCAUUUAAAUCUGUCCUUCCUCUGGAAAUUCUGCAACAAGGACACACUGCAGUGCAGAAGUGGGGAAAAGCUCGCAGGAAGAGCCUUGACAAGAGGCUUGACCUGGCUGUUGUCUUGAAUGCCGAAGACAAGGCAUUCUUGACCAACAUGACUUUUCAGUUUGUACAGCAGCACCCUCAAGAAAACUCUCGGGAUCGCGUGGAUCGGGUUGCAGGACAUGGUGAAGGAGGGUGUCCACUUCUGGGUCAAUGGAAACAGAAUUCAAAGAAUUUUUAUAUACUGGAAUGACCUGGACCCAAAGAAGGCCGUGGCCUCUUGGGACAAAGACCGAGCAGGACAGGACUGUGUUGCCAUUGUCCAGUGGAGUCACAUUGGACAGGAGAAUUACUUAAACUCCUGGGAAGACAUAGUUUGUGGUGGUGACCGUGCCUCUUAGUUUGUACUGAACGACAGACCUGCAUGUUGUUAAGCUGUGGAGGAAAAGCAACAUCUCACUCUCAGGCUGAGUUUGCUGGUGUUUACUCAAAGUCUACAUGUAAGCGUAAUCUAAGCACCAUCGCUGGUGUCGUGAGGGAAUUACUUUCGGAAUGAUUAUCUUACAUAUUAAAUUUCUCUUGUUUUUAUGUU